UUGGUCCAACAGCAGCCAACCUCAGUGAGGAGCCAGAACUAUAGAUGAAUGUGAGCUGCUUGAUGUAGCCCAGUAGUAGAUUUAUUUAUCCAGCUGGGACAUCAUGCCCUGUAAGGAGCAAGCCCAGCUGAGGUACAGUUUAACCAGUGGAAAUGGCAUGCAUUGUGAGGAGCUAGCCCAGGUGAACAGCAGUACAAAUCAUCCAUGACAGCUGCAGCAACCUCCCUGAGAAUCCUUUGGAGAAUGAAGCAUCCUGAGAUCCUGCAGUUUGGGAGUUGUGAGUUACCUGGACCUAGAACUCCUUACUUCCAUUGUACUUUAAACUUUUUUUUUCAGAGUUUACUUCUCUGUCUUCUUUGUGGAAGAGGCAUGAAGAAAGAGAGGACUUACAAGACAAGACAAGCAUGCAAGAAACAAAGCUGGGGACCUGAUCUGCUAAUCAAGGUGAAGAUUCCAAAUGGAAUGUUCCCAGGAGAGGCAGUUGGAGCUGGCCAGAGGAGAUGAACUGAGGAGAUUUGGGCUCUUUGGGUUUUCUGACCAAAGGAGAGAGACUGGCUUUUCCUGAUCUAGGCAGAGAGAGAAACCUUUGUGGUUUUUGACAGAGUUUGGACUUGAAUUACUCAAACAGAGAUUAUCUGACUGAAGAAGGAAGAAGAUUUAACAGUUGUCCUCCAUCUCUCUGGCUGUCUCUGAGUCACAAUUGUGACUAGACUGACAUUUCCCCAAAUCUCCUAAUUCUCCUUGUAGACUAGGGACACCCCUAUCCCACUCACCUUCAAUUUCCAUCCUGUUGUUCCCAAUAAACCCCUUUAUUUGAGAAAGAAAGAGUGAAGA
rnacentral:lncRNA from 1 species